GGGGCAAUGUGGUCGUAAUAUUGGCCACGCCCACGGUGCUAACAGCCAGUAGGCUCACGGAUCAGCCUUUCCCCAUGCAAAUCUCCUGGUUUUUUAUUUGAAUGAGGAAAAUUGGCCACGCCUCCUGCCUUGGAAAGGAGAAGGAAGUCUGAGGUGGUGGCGCUGCGCCUUUUAGUUGCAGUCUGAAGUGUGUUUUGAGUGGAGCUUCGCUCUACCAGUGAGUAGCACUUUGUGAGCGCCCUCUAUGAGUCUCAGGAAAGAAGGAAGGAAAUAGGAAUUAAGCAAAUACACUGUGCCCACUGGAAAGAAGACCUGUCUUGGACUGGAACAUCAGUCAUUGAAUUAAUGACCCAACCCAUUCCUCAUCAUGGGCCUCAUCAUAACUAAUUACAUCUGCAACUAUUUCCAAAGAAGGUCACAU